AGACGUCUACAUUAGAUACCCCCGUAGUCCCAGCCGUAAACUAUGCUCGCUAGGUGUCAGGCAUGGCGCGACCGUGUCUGGUGCCGCAGGGAAGCCGUGAAGCGAGCCACCUGGGAAGUACGGCCACAAGGCUGAACUUAAAGGAAUUGGCGGGGAGCACCACAACGGGUGGAGCCUGCGGUUUAAUUGGACUCAACGCCGGGAAGCUCACCGGACAAGACAGCGGAAUGAUUGCCGGGCUGAAGACUCUGCAUGACUAGCUG
rnacentral:rRNA from 1 species